CAUGCAAUUCAAAGAAACCUAGCAAAGUAAUCCGUCAAGAAUCUUCCCUCAAAGGAAAAUGAUGAUAAAGACAGUGCUUUGGUCAAAUUUAAAAACACUUGUCCAGUAACCAAUACCUCCAUCAUUCUUCUGCUGACGCGAAACUGCAAAAAACAAAGCAACAUACCAUUUAAAGCAACCCAUUCAUCUAGGUCCACGAACCUUGGCAAAGAAACGAUCGUGGAAAAAUUACCCUUUACCAAAUGAGUCCGAACAAAUGGCUGCUGCAAAUACAAAGCUGUAGGCUCUACACUCGGCGACCCCGUACGCACCAAUUGCGAUGUAGAACUUUUCUUGGAGAAAGAACCAGAA